AGACGAAGAAAAAUCUCAGCUUCCAAUCAUGCACGAUGGAAGGCAAAUCCGAAAAUAUCAGACGGAAGCCAUCCUUCUUCUUUUGUGAAGUCACGUACCACCAUCUGUGCGAGUAUAGAUGCUGCUUUAGACUGAAGAGAAAAUGAAAAAAUGUAACAUUUGGUGCAAUCUUAGCCAACACGCAUAACACAGUGAAGCCACAGAUAUGCCGCCACAUAUUCGGCACCACUGUACAUGGCAAUAUCUUAAAAUAAUGGAGGAGCGCCACAAAAAAGGGGUGAAGAGGAAGCCUAAGCC
rnacentral:lncRNA from 1 species